CUCAAUAAGUACCAAAAAACUGAGAUUAUACCAUGUAUAUUUUCAGAGCACAAUGCUUUAAAACGAACUCAAUCACAAGGAAAAGUUCCGAAGGAAC